AGUCCUUCGCCGUCCCUCGCCGUCCUUCGCCAUCGCACGCCACCGCACCCCAUCUCUCGAAAUCUGCAGACAUCUUGAUUUUUCCCACGCUGUCUGUCAGGUCUCCGCCGCCACUCGACGCCAGGGCGCCGGGCCUUGUGGGCUGUGCUGCACCUCGGACGGCUUCGCACCAGCCAGCGCCCUCUCUCUCCUGCAGCACUCUGAUCUGCACCCCCUGAGGGGCUUCCACUGUCCGCGGGGUGAGAAUGCCCCUGGGAGUGUCACAUGACUGCCGCCCCAUGUGUGUGAGAGGCGUCCUCUGGGAGAGCAUGGAUCCUGAGGUCCCAGGAUUGUCAGCUGACCUCUGUCCUGUGUGCCCAGUGGCCCCAGGUGACGUGUCUUCAAGAAGAGGCUGAGCUGCGGUGCUUGUAAGAGUCAUGUGCUGUUCCUGGGGCUUGGAUGAUGUAGGGGAAGCAAGGUGAAAGUGGUAUCCCGUGGUUCCACGUUCUGUCCUGCUGUGGGGCUGUCCCUCACAUGCUUUCAGUGGCUGUUGCAGAGGAAGAGCCUCCGGAAAUCUGCGUGGGUCUCAGCCUUAGAUCCAAGGACAGUCCAAGGAAGUCCUAAGACCAUGGAGUUGGUGAUCUGGGAUCUGGGUUUGCUGAUAUUUCUCACCGUGAAUCUCUUGGUGGUGUUUGUGGGCACGAGAGGGGCAGAGAAUGGAGAGUGAGGCUACCACAUGAAGCGUCACCAGAGCUGCUCCCUGCUGCCUGCUCAGAGCACCCCGGAUCCACUGUUCAAUCUGCACAAGAUUCGGGGUCCAGACAUGGGAGACUUCAGCUGCCUCAGAGGACCGUGGACAGGGAAGGCCAGCCUCGCAUCCCUCUGUCCAUGCCUGGAAUGACUUUAAUAACCAAGAGUUUUAUUUUUGAAUUUGUAGCUGUCGUUCACUUUUUACCCACCCAUUCAAUAAACCUUACAGAAUUGCUCCA
rnacentral:lncRNA from 1 species